rnacentral:rRNA from 1 species
GUCCAGACUCCUACGGGAGGCAGCAGUGGGGAAUAUUGCACAAUGGGGGAAACCCUGAUGCAGCGACGCCGCGUGAGUGAGGAAGUAUUUCGGUAUGUAAAGCCCUGUCAGCAGGGAAGAAAAUGACGGUACCUGAAGAAGAAGCCCCGGCUAACUACGUGCCAGCAGCCGCGGUAAUACGUAGGGGGCAAGCGUUAUCCGGAUUUACUGGGUGUAAAGGGGGCGCAGACGGCGAUGCAAGCCAGGAGUGAAAGCCCGGGGCCCAACCCCGGGACUGCUCUGGAAACUGCGUCGCUGGAGUACGGGAGGGGCAGGCGGAAUUCCUGGUGUAGCGGUGAAAUGCGUAGAUAUCAGGAGGAACACCGGCGGCGAAGGCGGCCUGCUGGACCGUGACUGACGUUGAGGCUCGAGAGCGUGGGGAGCAAACAGGAUUAGAUACCCGAGUA